GCAGUUAGGAAAGGGCUGAGAUGGAGCUCAGGGGUAACCCUAGGAGCCGUACCUCUGUGCCCACCCGCGCUUCCGCACCCUGAGGAGCCGCGAUGGCCGCAGAUUCCUCUCGGUCCUUUAACAGUUCCUCGGACGGGACGCCCGGCGCGUCCCACGCAUGCCCAGUCUUUCCGGCUAGCCCGUCUCGGGUUCCGGUGUCCAGCCAAGUGCGAGAGGUCUCUGGACGCGGACGGAAGGAGAGCUGGCCGACGCUCCCUCCAUAUGGGACAGCGGGCCCAUCCAGCUGUCCCCUUGUGUCCGGACCCACGUCGGGCCCACGCGAGUGCACGCACCAAGCCCUAACGGCCCGGGAGGCCGCCCGCGCGGGGCGAGUCCAGCGCAGAGACCCUGCCGGCCUGUUGUCAGGUGCGUUAGCGGGGAGCUGGAUCAGAAGUGGAGCAGCCGGGACUCAGAACACAGCCCUCUGAAGUGGAAUGCCAGCAUCCCAAGUGGCAGUGUCCAUCUGACGCGCAGAGGUGUGAAUUUGCCUGCAUCUGAGAAUGGCAGAGCACUAACAUCUCCUUUGGAGGCCUCUUGGAGUUUUGGACUCAGAACCCUUUAAUCCCAGCUGUAUGCAUUAUUAAGUGUGUGACUGUCACUGGAAGACACUGAACUCUUAAGGUGACUGCAGGCCAGGCCAUCUGCCAUUCAGUGUCACACGUAAAAGGAAUGUGGUUCUGAUGAAGUGACAAACCACUCACAUGAAUGCAGGUACAGAGGCCUUUGAAGGUGAAGUCUCAAGAAAUCCAGGGCUGUAGAGCUGCGUGGUUCUUAAUUGUUUCUUUUCAGCAAAAAAUACACUCCCGCCCUGGUUUUGAUGCCACCAUAAACAUUUUUGCUGGAAGCAAAAUACUGCAAAACGUUGUUACUCAUCUCAGCUGUCAGCACACAGCUCCCAGCGCCCCAGCCCGCUCACGCAGGGGGUUACUGAGCAAAAGUGCUCUUGGCUUCCAGGCCCUUCAGGAGACAGAGAAAUGACAAUACCCAGACCUCCGUCCACCUUGCAUUACUGUUAAACAAAUCUGUGUAACCCAGUGUAUAAAAAUGCACAGUGGAGCAGCCAGGGAAAUUCAUUUAUUUACUGAGUGUCACAAAGCUACUUCAGCUUGUUGCAUGAGAAUUUGGGCACUUGUGUUUAAUUGGCUGGUUUGCACUCUGACAUAUCCUACAAGUGAGGUACAUAUUCUCUCUCUCUCUCUCUCUCUCUCUCUCUCUCUCUCCAAAAGCUUGAGGGUGAUAUGAAAUGAGAUUUUGAAUUCUCUGGGAACUCAAUGGGCUGAUAAUGUUGCUGCCAGUUUUGACACUGUGGGGCAGGCUCUACUCUUAGUAGAGUUGAUAAUGGCAAAGCGCACCUUCCACAAAACGUGGGAGAGAUCCCAGGCACUUUGCAGGAGGCAGUCAAGCUCAAGGGCCUGUUGACAGCACUGGAGAAGACAAAGGUGACAAACUGGUAACCAGGGGACCCUGGGUGAUCCCAGCCUCUUAUCAGCAACACAGCUAGCUAACGGUCCUCAGGGAAAUCUGCUAAGGUGAUUAGAAUGACUGACACUGAUUAACAGGGAAAUUAAAACUUAUUCAAGGAAGGCAUGGUGGCACAACAGGUUAAGCCUCCAUUUGGGAAGCCCUCAUCCCAUAUCGGAGUGCCAGUUCAAGUCCCAGCUCCUCUACUUCUGAUCCAGCUUUACCCUGAUGUGCCUGGGAAGCAGCACAUGACGGCCCAAAUACUUGGGUCCCUGCCACCCAAGUGGGAGACUGGAUUGUGUUCUGGGCUCCUGUGUCCAGCCUGGUUCAGCACCAGCUAUUGGGGGCUUUUGGGAAGUGAGCCAGUGAAUGGAAGGUCUCUGUCUCUCCCUCUCUUUUUGUCACUCUGCCUUUCAAAUAAAUUAAUAAAUAAAUUCUAAAAAACUGAAUCAGGAGGAAUUUACCACAGAACUUUUCUAGAUAAACCCAAGUGCCCACUGUUCUAUUGAUUCAGGGUUCAGACACAGGGUAGAUGUCACCUACAGGGUUAUUAGCAAUAUUACCAGAAUGCAAGAGGAAUGGUCAGAGAGGUUUACUACUUUAAUACACAAUACUCAACUCUCAGGGGCUUAACCAAAAGAGUCGCAAUCCAAUAUGGGUUGGUAGGGGGCCAAGGGCUCGGCUCCACACCAUCAUUCAAGGACUCGGGUUUCUAUCUGGUAGUCCCUCUACCCUCUAGAUGGAAACUAUGGAGUUCUUGCAAAUUUUCCUGAAUCCAACCAACAGACUGAGGAAGAGAGACAUGGGGAGACCUCUGCAGGGAUUAGGUCUGGGAAUACCACGCUUCACUGGCCAAGAGUUACAUCAAACACACACAUACACACACACACACACACACACACCGCCCCCAACUGCAGGGGACUGGCAAGUACAGAAUGGCUGUGUGGAGAGGAAGGAGAGGACAGCUUGGUGUGGCGCACCAGCAACCUCUGCUAUAAAAGUUUCAUAAAAGAACUAAGCUUAUUCUUAAGAGCAAGUGUAUUAAAGCAGAUUCUGGACGAGAUCCUACAUUUUGUCCAGGCCCUCCACCCCUGGAAUUCCCCUCAGAGAGAGGGGAGGGCUCAUUGCUUCAGAGCAAGUUUGGUUUUAGUCAACCCUCAAAUGAUGAAUUUGAUCAAUUCUGAAGAAAAUGCCCUGGGUUCCUCAGAUCUUACAUUGCUAGAAAAUAUAAGUCAAGUCAGUCUCUACAAUAUAAGUCAAGUCAGUCUUUGUGUAUGUGAACAAAGAGAAAUUAACCUACCUAGGGGCAUUCUCUUUCUUUAAAGGGUAGAGUGGGGUUGGGGGUUGAUCUACCAGUUAAAAGGCCCACAUCCCAAACUCGAUUACCUGAUUUCAUCUCCUGGCUUUUCUCCCAAUGCCAGCUUCCUGCUAAUGUGCACAUCCUGGAAGGCAGGGAGUGAUGACGGCUCAAGUAGUCAAGUUCCUGCACCCAUGUGGGAGACCUGCAUUGAGUCCCUGUCCACCUGACCCAACCCUGGCCACGGCAGGCAUCUGGGGAGAAAAGCUGCAGAUUGGGACUCUGUCUCUUUCUCUGCUGAUUCUAUUAAAAAAAAAAUAAAAAGGAAUCCACUUAAGAGAUUUGGGGUGGUAGGCUGGAGAAGGGUAUAGGGCAGACGGUUCAGUGGUUCACACAAAGUUUUUUUUGGGGGGAGGAUUCUAAGUCACAAGGUCCUGACCCUUUAGGCUCUGAAAUGCACAACUGGUCCAAGUGGGCCCCCUCCCUGUCAAUCUCCUGAGAGAAAGAAAGCAGCUCUUUGUAGGCAAUGUCGGUCUUGGUUGAACAAAGACCAAAUCAGCGAGUCCCACCUUGACUUAUGAUGGGUCAAUCUGUGAUGUUUCCACUUGACAACGGUGUCAAAGCAUACCGGUAACAACCCUGUGUUUCACAGCCAGUAUAUGUAGUAGUCAGCUUUUCAUUGCCACCUAAUGCAAUCUAAUCACUUCCUGAAAUCCAUGCCUUCAGAGAGUAUCACUGGAUUAAGCUUCCACUCUCUCAGCCCCACCAACAUCAAGAUUUUGGGAGUUAGAUAUUUACAUGAGUUGGAUAGCCAAAUCAUGUUCAAACUAUAGAAGUAUGAUAUUCAAUAAUUUACUGGACAUAUUCAAUGCUUUAUCAUAAAACAGGCUUUGUAUUAGAUGAUUUUGCCCAGCUGUAGACUAACUUAGGUUCUGAGCAUAUUUAAGGUGGGCUAGGCUAAGCCACGCUAUGACGUUCAGUAGGUUAGGUGUAUUACCUGUACGUUCCACUCUAGUGUUUUCAAUUUAUGAUAGGCUUAUCAGCACAUAUCCAUACAGUAAAUUGAUGAGCAACUGUGUAUGCUUUAUUAUACCACACCCUUCUUUAAAGACUUCCAGGGCAGGCAUUUGGCACAGCAGUUAAAAUGUCACUUGGGAUGCACUUACCGCAUAUCAGAGUGCUUGGGUUCAAGCCCCAGGUCUGCUUUCCAAUCCAGCUUCCUUCUAGCGUGCAUCCAGGUAGGCAGAAGGUAACGGCUCAAGAACCCGGGUCCCUGUCACCCACGUGGGAUACUUGAAUUGAGUUUCUGGCUUCUGGCUUCAGCUUGACCUAGCCCUGAUUGUUGGGGGCAUUUGCAGGAGUGAAUCAGUGGAUGGAAGUUAUCUGUCUAUCUCUGUCUCUUUGCCUUUCAAAUAAAUAAAAAAUAAAGAAAGUUUUAAAAAAAAUCCUGGUCUAGCGACCCACCAUUUUAAUAGGAAGAAAAUAUACUGGCUACACAGGGAUAGGGAUGGUGGGGUCCAAAGUCUUGAAUUGGAAACUCUGUCUUCCUGAAAAUGAUCUAUACAAUAGAUUUCCUUUCUGUAAGUGAAUAAGCAAACACACACACCAAAGUAAGCAUUACGUUCAUAAAGGAAAAUUAAUUCUUCUCACUAGUGUGACUCCAAUAGGUUAGACAUAGAUUCAGAUUCCCCCUCUGCUAUUUCAGGAAAGAGCUUGAUGUCCAGCUGUGGGGGCCAUGGUCAGCAGGCAACUGCCAGCUGGCAGUUCUGUCCAAAUCUGCCUCAACUGCAGAGGACCACCUUCCCUGAGGUCAGCCCCUUCCUGGGGUAGCCCCGCUCCCAGCGAUGAGUGGGGUGUGGGUGUAAAGGCCAGUCACCGUGGCCCAGGCCAGAAGACUAAUGGGAGGUUUUCCCUGCAGAGCUGCUCAAUGGGCUGGCCAAGCCCUUGCUGGAGUGGUAUUGCAUCUCAGUUUCUUCCUCUCUCCCUAUUCCUAAUUUCUUCCAUUUCCCUAUAAAGAUGUUGAUCUCCAAUAAAUAUCUUACCUCCCAAAUUCCAUCACAGCGUCUGCUUCCAGGGUGCUCACCCUAUCACAACUUCGUGAAACAAUAAGCUGGAAGUGUUUGGCUAAAGAGGAUGUGGUCCCUUCCUGAAAAUGACCGAGAGAGCUGAAGUGGCCCUGUCCUUCCAUCUCGCGUCGGUGCUCAGCCCCAGUUCAAGAGCUUUUGACUCCCACAUCUCUCUUAGGAUGGACCACUCACGAUUGCUAGCAUUCUCUAUAAGUAUCCUGAGUGGUUCUCCUUCCUCCUUUCAGUCAAGGUGCAGCUGCUUUUGAGGAAACUAAAUUUUUUUCAAAAAUUAAUAUCAGUUUAAAGGAUUAUAUACUCCCCAGAAAAUGACAGCUUACCUAAACACAGUUGGC